CGGGAGGCGCGCACUGGCCGGCCGGGCGGUGACGUGAAUCGCCUCGGAGGCCGGCGACUGGCUGAGAGACGUGUGGUAGCGGGUGCCGCAUGCCGUCGCCGGAUGAUUUAAAGUGGAAUGUCACACGGGGGCAGAUAAGCCGUCUCACACACACACACAGGCGGGCAAGGACAUCUGUGUGCUAAAAAGAUCUCCAGAAUACGCGGCUCAGUGAUGCUGUUUAAACAUCACGAGAUUAUACGCAGAACAAGCUCGAUGCAACACACCUUGAUGCUGCAGCUCUAAGCUCACGCUACCCGUCUCACAACCUGCGGAUCUACAAGCGUCACCCGGAUGAUCUUCCCCUGAUCGGCGCCAGUGUGCGUUACGGCACGAGGAGACGACGACGAUCACCGAGACAAAAAUUCAGUCAGACACAAGACACCCAGCCAGACCCUGAUAAAAUAUAUACUGUUUCCCUUUUCAACAUUUCUUAAAUUGAAGUUAUUCUCUCUGUCGAUACGAUAUGCCGCGUUAAACUGUUAUUAGAAGAGGACAACGAUAAUAUCAGCGUUCGCAUCUACAAAGUGUGAAAUAUAAAUAUAUAUACUUCAAUAAAUACGUAUGACCUUUAA